CGUGUUAGUGCUAUCAGCGACAACAACAAAGUUAGUUUGACAAAGAAAAUAUGCAUUCCUUCUGGUUAAAAAUGGUUGUAUAAAUCCACGUGGGUUUUCUCAUAGAUCCGAUAUGGUGUCUUCCCUCUCCGUCAGUCCAACUCGGUCCUGCAUCAGGGUAUCGCAGCCUGACGCAGCCUGAGAACCAGCCUGUCAGCAGAUAGGAUCUACAGCGAUAAAUGAAUGCUGACAGUGGGUCUCAUAAGUUUUCACUCGGCCAGCCUGCAGAGUCAGCAGAUGGAGGAGCAGAUUCCUGUAAGGUGGUUUGAGAACGGAGUACGAGCAGCUUCACACAGUGAUCAGGGAGACAUGAUGUGAAAGGCCAAAGUAUCACUGCGCAGCUGGGACAGAGUGGCUCCAUGACCCUGUGGGAUUGUGGGUAAAUAUCUGCAGCCCAGUCAUGGGAAUGAAAUAGCUCCAUGUCAAGUCUGUGAGCCAGGGGUUACUGAUAUGGAUUUAACCGGUGCAAGGUCACCGCUCAGACCGAGGGGGACUUUCUGCCUCUCUCUGUCUCUCUCUCUUUCUGUCUCUCUCUCUCUCUCUCUCUCUCACUCUCAUAAAGGACUUUAUCUCUUCUCCCCUGUUUCUUUUUCAGUCUCUGCGAAACACACAAACGCCCUCGCUGUCUUCCUUUCGCUACUUUUCCCACUAUAUAUCUUUGUAAGCAAAACAUUUUUUCUGGAAAAUAACUGUUUACCCCUGCCUUUGAUGCUCUCUGGUUUAUUUCUCUAAGAUUUAAUGUCUCCACAAAGUUUGGACAAUAAGACUGUGUGUGUGUGUGUGCGUGUGUGUGCGGGACUUGUUUGUGAGAGUAAUCUCAUAAUUGUAGUUUGGGCAAGGGAAGGAAGGGUGAGGAUUAGCCCUCCUCUGUUUGUUAAUGUGUGUAGUGUCUGAAUGAGAACAGCGUGGGAGCUCGUGACACGGUGCCACACAAAGAGCGGGGAAACCAGGAGUUUUGUGGGACAGUGAAGCACCUGAGGGUUUUAAGCUCGACACUCAACACCACAGAGUGUGUGAAGGGAGAGUAAAACUUCACACACCUCUCGUUUUUUUUGUUUUUUUUUUGUUGUUGUUUUUUUUUCCGCAGCUCUGAGACGUCACAUUCGGCUGAGCGGGGAGCCUUUGAUGGAGGUUUUUUUCUGUAAGGCAGUAAUUACCUCAUUUAAUUUGAAUGUGUAGGCGCAGGUGUAUAGUAAACACUGAGACUUAUCCUUUAUCUUAUCACAUCCUUAAUAAUUAUCAUGAUUCUUUCUAUCAACAUACAUUUCCUCAUGGUAUAGCAGGUUAAUUCCUCCCAUGGCACAGGAAGGGCGUGUUUUGGUUCCCCUUGAAAAACAAAACAGCAGCGAAGGCCAAAAACUUUACAUACACAUUUUAACAGUACUUUUAUUCUUGUAUUUGCAGGUGAACACAGUCAAAAAUUUAUGCACAAGAACACCUUAAAGCGGCAACAGUACCUUUUAUUCUGUCUUGAUUGUGGCGGCCCCUGUGGACAAGAGCAGUAUUAGCUCUUUUGGAGAUGCUAUUGUUCGUACCUGUUUUUGACCCAAGAUUUCUAUAGGAUGCAGCGUCCUUUCUGAACAAAGAAAAUUAAAACUUCAAAAACCUACACUUAAUGAAAGAUUAAUGAAACACACUACACUACACAAAUGAUUUUCCACAAUAUUUCAUCGUCCGGAUAAUAUAACAUACACAAUGUCCUUAGAGCAGCUGACUGAUGGAAACCUGGACUCAGCAACCUCAAAUCACAACAAUGGCUCUUGUGACAAAAUGGACGAUAAGCAGCAACGUGCACACACAUGGAGUGCAUACUUCCUCCUCGGCCGACAGAGUCACCUACUGUGCCGCUUUUCCCAGCGGCACGUACACAGUGCAGAGGAAGUAGAUGUUUUGUUUUCUGCUAUUAAGCUCCUUAGCCUUUUUUUUUGUUUGUUUAAAAAAAAAAAGGCUCUUGGCUCACAGGUCUCACCUAUAGGUCCGAGGGAUCAAAGACACUCUGACUCUUGUUCAGAUUUCCCCCUUUCACUUCCAAACAUUUAGAAGCACUCACAUGAAUUAUAGACCCGGUAACUAUUUGCUUAUGUACUUAAUCCUGCUCUUAGAAGAAAACAGCUAUUUGAGGCUGCGGCUCCCAUGCAGUUCACAGGGUGCUUGAAUAUCCCCUCUGUCUAAACAGACACAAAUACAGUAGUCUGCAUUUAGAGCUGUUUGUCCCUGGCUCGUUCUCAUGACAAGACAAAUCUUACAACGGUGGGAAAUUUACAGUGCGGCUGGGUUACAUAAUUGAGUGGCAUUAAUCCCUAAAUAGCAGCUAUGAGAGCGAUCCGGAGAAGUAAAAGGUUUAUUACACCUUUUACUGCUGAUAACUGCAAAUUGCUUAUCACUCUCAGCCAAACAAGGGACAAGUGAACAACACCAAACAAUGCAUAAUUGCAAAGGAGCGUUUUCCCAACACCAAGUCAAAGGUACUUUUGUUGAGUGACAGGCGAUCAGAUUGAACGUUCCCAUCCUUCUCCUCUCUCUGGGUGUUUGUUCUCUGUGAGUGGUGGGGGCUUUCAGUGCAACACAAGACGCAAUAAAAGCUCUUCGAUGUCAUAACGCAAGACUCUGUGGCAGGCUUUUUGAAAAAUGUGACCCAGUGAUUACUUAAACAUGUGCAGAGACUUUCUGGUGUCCAGAGCUUGUCUUACUGGUAAUUUCUUGUUUUGGAACAGAAAGUAACCAGUCCUGUUUCCACAAAGAGUACCGACAUAAAUCUACAAUCGUGUGGGCUCCUUCUCUAUGAACGGAGUUUCUAUUUUUGAAAUACUUUCUCAGUCUCCAUGUAAAAUCAUUGGUGGUCAAAUUUACACCAGCACUUUCUUACAAAAGACAAAAUGUCUUGUUUAGGACUUAAACAUUGACAUUGAUAGUUACAGUUUCUAUAUGCCCUCAGUAACGCAUUUGCAAGUCACAAACCUGGUUUUUACAUUUUUGACACAUAUUUAACUGAUGAUAGCAGAGCUGAGUCACUUUUACACUGUAAAAAUGUGUUCAUGCAUAUCAAUCACAAUGACAGCACACCAACAAAUGCCAAGUGUUGUAAUAGGACAACAAACGAGUGACUGAAAUAAAGGUGAUAUAGUUUACCUCCUGUUUAAUCGAUAAAUCAAACAAUGAGUAACAUCUUUUAAAUAAAGCAGAUUUGUCCGCUUUGCUGGUCUUUAUUAAACGGCUAUAAACAUGUUGGCAUGCAUGAACACAUCUCGCCUCAAGUCCCUGGUUGAUUCGGUUCACAGCACUGUCCAACAUCUGCAGAAGACUGGAGGCUGAAAUCGGAUGUCUCGAGUGGGCUGCAUGACAGGAAACAGUCUGUUGUUCCCAGCGCUGGGCUGUGAACAGCACAGCAAACAAUGCAAAGACAGACUGGGCUGAUUGUUAAAGAGACAUUAUGUAAUUUUUUCACCUCAAAAUAAAGCCUUCAAAAUAAUUUUGAUGAUACAGUGUCUUGUUAAUAGGGUGAAUGUUGUCUUAGCCACUCCGCCCACCCCCAAACCCCGUCACUUGUU